rnacentral:pre_miRNA from 1 species
AAAAAGACAAACCCUGGGUUUACGUGUCCAACUUUGACUGUCCGUUUUAUAUGAAAUUUUUUUAUAAUUCGUAUUUUCAUUGUUGUUAGAUGAUAAAACAUGAUUAAUAUUUUAUGCGUGACUUGUCUUUUUAAUUUUUUCAAAAAAUUUUCAAAUAAGACGGACGGUCAAAUGUUGGCACGGAAGCCAGGGUUUGUCUUUUU